UACAGAGGUCCCAAGCGUUGUUCGGAUUCAUUGGGCGUAAAGGGUGCGUAGGCGGCGCGGUAAGUCGGGUGUGAAAUCUCGGAGCUUAACUCCGAAACUGCAUUCGAUACUGCCGUGCUUGAGGACUGGAGAGGAGACUGGAAUUUACGGUGUAGCGGUGAAGUGCGUAGAUAUCGUAAGGAAGACCAGUGGCGAAGGCGGGUCUCUGGACAGUUCCUGACGCUGAGGCACGAAGGUCAGGGGAGCAAACGGG
rnacentral:rRNA from 1 species